AACGAACGCUGGCGGCAUGCCUAACACAUGCAAGUCAAACGAGACCUUCGGGUCUAGUGGCGCACGGGUGCGUAACGCGUGGGAACCUGCCCUUAGGUUCGGAAUAACUCCCCGAAAGGGGUGCUAAUGCCGGAUAAUGUCUUCGGACCAAAGAUUUAUCGCCUUUGGAUGGGCCCGCGUUGGAUUAGCUAGUUGGUAGGGUAAAAGCCUACCAAGGCGACGAUCCAUAGCUGGUCUGAGAGGAUGAUCAGCCACACUGGGACUGAGACACGGCCCAGACUCCUACGGGAGGCAGCAGUGGGGAAUAUUGGACAAUGGGCGAAAGCCUGAUCCAGCAAUGCCGCGUGAGUGAUGAAGGCCUUAGGGUUGUAAAGCUCUUUUACCCGGGAUGAUAAUGACAGUACCGGGAGAAUAAGCUCCGGCUAACUCCGUG
rnacentral:rRNA from 1 species